UACAGAGGGUGCAAGCGUUAAUCGGAAUUACUGGGCGUAAAGCGUGCGUAGUCGGUUAUCUAAGUCGGGUGUGAAAUCCCCGGGCUCAACCUGGGAAUUGCAUUCGAUACUGGAUAGCUAGAGUUCGGCAGAGGGAAGCGGAAUUUCGGGUGUAGCGGUGAAAUGCGUAGAUAUCCGAAGGAACAUCAGUGGCGAAAGCGGCUUCCUGGACCAGAACUGGCGAUCAGGCACGAAAGCGUGGGGAGCAAACAGG
rnacentral:rRNA from 1 species